GUCCUGGUGUCCAUGGAGGAGAGGUCACACCCGUUCCCUUUCCGAACACGGAAGUUAAGCUCUCCCUCGCCGAUGAUACUGCUGAGGAGUCAGUGGGAAAGUAGGUCGAUGCCAGGAC
rnacentral:rRNA from 1 species